UACUGUUAUCCUAGGUAAAGAGUAACUGAUUCCUCUAGAAAUAGAAAAUUUGAGUUGCUUUUUAAAAAUAUUUGUUGGAUCUCAAUUUUCUGUAUAUGAAAUUUUUGACAGCUCGAGAUGUCUUUUUAAUGCUAAAGAAGCCAAACUAUAAGAAGCUAGAACUUCAAGUAUAUGCAACCUUCUUUGAAAUUUAUAGUGGAAAGGUGUUUGACUUGCUAAACAGGAAAACAAAAUUAAGAGUUCUAGAAGAUGGAAAACAGCAGGUUCAAGUGGUGGGAUUACAGGAACGGGAG
rnacentral:sRNA from 1 species